AGUGAACGCUGGCGGUAGGCCUAACACAUGCAAGUCGAACGGCAGCACAGUAAGAGCUUGCUCUUACGGGUGGCGAGUGGCGGACGGGUGAGGAAUACAUCGGAAUCUACUUUUUCGUGGGGGAUAACGUAGGGAAACUUACGCUAAUACCGCAUACGACCUACGGGUGAAAGCAGGGGAUCUUCGGACCUUGCGCGAUUGAAUGAGCCGAUGUCGGAUUGGCUAGUUGGCGGGGUAAAGGCCCACCAAGGCGACGAUCCGUAGCUGGUCUGAGAGGAUGAUCAGCGACACUGGAGCUGAGAGGCGGUACAGACUCCUACGGGAGGCAGCAGUGGGGAAUAUUGGACAAUGGGCGCAAGCCUGAUCCAGGCAUACCGCGUGGGUGAAGAAGGCCUUCGGGUUGUAAAGCCCUUUUGUUGGGAAAGAAAAGCAGCAGGUUAAUACCCCGCUGUUCUGACGGUACCCAAAGAAUAAGCACCGGCUAACUUCGUG
rnacentral:rRNA from 1 species